AUCUUUCUAGUAACAAAUAAGUAUAAGUGGCUUCCAACCACCAGGUCUUGGUUUAAACCCGAGGAAAGAUA
rnacentral:tRNA from 1 species